CAAAAACAUAGCCAUUCGGUGGAUGUAUGGUUAAGUCUGCUCARUGGAGUAAAUGGCUGCAGUACCCUGACUGUGCAAAGGUAGCGCAAUCAAUUGGCUUUUAAUUGGAGUCCUGAAUGAAUGAAUUAAUGGGGGAUAACUAUAUUGGGAGUAAUUAAUGAAAUUACUAAGUGAGUGAAAAUACUCAUAGGAGAAUAAUAGACGAGAAGACCCUUGAAAUUUUAAGAUACUAUAUUAAUUCUUUUUGUUGGGGCAACAAAGUAACAUUUAACUUACUUUAAGACAAGGUGAUUAUUAUAUGAAAGAUUAAAUUACUCUAGGGAUAACAGCAUAAUUCUUUGUGUGUUUAUGACCUCGAUGUUGGAUUAGGGAGUUAUUAUUUAGAAGAUAAAUGACCAUGCUCUGUUCG
rnacentral:rRNA from 1 species